AAAGGACAACACAGCAGAGUCAGCUUCCUGACCCAAUGGGACCUUGGGAGGGGGGUAUAAAGGAAGGUGUAAUUUCCUUAAUAAACAACUAUGCAGCACGCUCUGUUACUCACUGACUCCCUGUGUCUGAGUACUGAGGCAUUGGUGCUGCAUCUUCUCACCCACUCCCCCAAGGGGUGUCUGAGCAGGAUCACCGGCAACACUGACACAACAUAAUAAGUCAAGGACCCUCCAAAGAAUCUCCCAGUGAACAUAAGCCAAGUGCUAAGUGGGAAGCUCACAUUGAAAAAUAUGUGCUGUCCUUGUUGGAUUUGGUGGCAUAAACCUGCAGUAUCUGCUACUUGAACUGCUGCUCCUGAUGAGGCAUUAGGAUUGCAACUUCAAAAAGAAUUCAAGGCCAUUUGAAAAGACAUAUCCAGUCCAUGAUCCAAGACUUAAGAGGACAAACAUCAUCACAAAACUGAGAGUUCAGAUCCCCAAGGAAAGCCAAGGAGUAACAAAAAUGGAAAAAUGGAAAAUUUCAGUGUACAUGAUGAUUUGCAAGCAUCUGGCACAACACGCAGAUGACCUAAAGGCCACACAUUUUGAAGAGUAGGCCAGACACAGAAAGAGAACUACUACCCAACCUGAGAACAUAGAAAAUCUGAAACAUGUUCAUGAUUCCUGUCUUCCCAGAAAAGAACAGAAUGUGGCAUCACACUGCUGAGGAGAAUAGUAAGACUGGACUAAAUAGUAAGACUGGACUGAAGCUCAUACAAGGACAUCCUGUGCUUUUAGCGUUGUAUUUGUUAUCUAAGGUGUGUUUUGGUUGCUCUGCAUUCCAGUUGUAGAAAACACUGCUAAAAAGGGAUAGAAACAAUAAUUAACAGAUAUAAUUUACAAUAAAAUACAAUACAAUUCUGAUGCAGUGGCUAAAGGGAAAUAAAGAGGCCAAUAGUAUAAAACCUGCUGAAUCCAUUUACUGUUGCUUAUGUGUAUAUAUUUCAGAGCUGACCGCUAGGUAUUGAAUAACCAACUAGGGAGAUCAUCCCCAGGGAAGACUAAUUCUCCCUCUCUUAGCCUUCAUAUAGUUGCCUGUAGCUCUUUAUCUAGGUGCGAAUCCCCAUGAAAUUUCCUCUUCCACCUUAGUAGGUCUAAAGGGGCUGUCAUUGUUCAGGUCUUCUUUUAGGCAGCCAUACUAUUGAGGUAUCAUGGUUGUAGCUUUCCUAUUGUUUCUAGGAGACACAAUCUCAUGAAAGACUUCAUGGUCCUCUCAUUCUUACAGUCUUUUCAUCUUCUCUCUAUUGAUAUUCCCUGAGCCUUAGGGGCAAGGAUUGUGUUGCAGAUGUAUUUCCUGGAGCUGGGUAUAGCAAAAUUGGUUGAUCCCCGAAUUUUGAUGAGUUACAGUUUUCCGUGAAACUCUCAGUGUGUUGCAAAAAUGAAACCACUUUGAUGAGGGGUGAAAGCUACACUUACCUGUGUGUAUAAGGGCAAGUGCUAGAUUACAAGUUAAGGAAAUAUGCUGGCUGAGUAAAGUGGUAAUCUAGAGGUAGAUCUCCUCUAAGAUAUGCAACAUUAUUAGCCUUGUGUUCUUGACUAGAUUUCUAAUACUGGACACAAUUUCUUUCUUGUUGAGCUGGCCUCAAAUCCAAUUAGACGGCUAUUUAUUCUUGCCAAGUUAUGAAUACCACCAUUGGACCUUUAGAGAUAUCUUUCCUUGGCCGUCAUUGUUGUAGAUUCUAGGCAACAAGACUGGGUAGGACUGUUGAUCUCUUCCUCUCUCGGCAUCUUGCAUAGCAAUUUCUGGUACUAUAAAAACUAGACACCAGGGAGGAAGCUUCCAGAUCAGAUCCAGCACACAUUUGAGUCAUGUGUCUGGUGAUGUCAUCAGUAGUACUUACCUUCAACUUCUGGGAGACAACCAAGAGCAAGAGCAAUAGCCUAUGUUGCUUUCAGUGUCUCUUGGACAUCCAGUCACUGAAAAGGUUUCUCAUGUCUGAUACUAGUUUUUUGUUCCUCAUAUGUAACUUCAUAUAUGUAGUCCUUCUGCAUCCUAUUUCUCUGUAGCUCAAGUCAGUGUGUGUGUGUGUGUGUG
ensembl:lncRNA